GAUGAACGCUGGCGGCGUGCCUAAUACGCGCAAGUCGAACGAAUCUUCUUCGGAAGAUGAGUGGCGAACGGGUGAGUAAUACAUAGGUAACCUGCCCCUGUGCGGGGGAUAACAGGAGGAAACUCCUGCUAAUACCGCAUAGCCAUGAGCACCGCAUGGAGCUCAUGCCAAAUAUCCUUUAUGGGAUAGCGCAGGGAUGGACCUAUGGCGCAUUAGCUGGUUGCGGGGCAACGGCCCACCAAGGCAACGAUGCGUAGCCGGCCUGAGAGGGCGGACGGGCACAUUGGGACUGAGACACGGCCCAGACUCCUACGGGAGGCAGCAGUAGGGAAUUUUCGGCAAUGGGGGAAACCCUGACCGAGCAACGCCGCGUGAGCGAAGAAGGCCUUCGGGUCGUAAAGCUCUGUUGUAAAGGAAGAACGGCGCAUACAGGAAAUGGUAUGCGAGUGACGGUACUUUACCAGAAAGCCACGGCUAACUACGUGCCAGCCGCCGCGGUAA
rnacentral:rRNA from 1 species